GACGUAGGGCGCGAGCGUUGUCCGGAUUUAUUGGGCGUAAAGAGCUCGUAGGCGGCUUGUUGCGUCGACUGUGAAAACCCGCGGCUUAACCGCGGGCUUGCAGUUGAUACGGGCAGGCUAGAGUUCGGUAGGGGAGACUGGAAUUCCUGGUGUAGCGGUGAAAUGCGCAGAUAUCAUGAGGAACACCGGUGGCGAAGGCGGGUCUCUGGGCCGAUACUGACGCUGAGGAGCGAAAGCGUGGGGAGCGAACAGG
rnacentral:rRNA from 1 species